rnacentral:rRNA from 1 species
GAUGAACGCUGGCGGCGUGCCUAACACAUGCAAGUCGAGCGAACCCUUCGGGGUGAGCGGCGGACGGGUGAGUAACGCGUGGGUAACCUGCCCUAUACACACGGAUAACGUACCGAAAGGUACGCUAAUACGAGAUAACAUAUUUUUAUCGCAUGGUAGAAAUAUCAAAGCUCCGGCGGUAUAGGAUGGACCCGCGUCUGAUUAGCUAGUUGGUAAGGUAAUGGCUUACCAAGGCGACGAUCAGUAGCCGACCUGAGAGGGUGAUCGGCCACAUUGGAACUGAGACACGGUCCAAACUCCUACGGGAGGCAGCAGUGGGGAAUAUUGCACAAUGGGCGAAAGCCUGAUGCAGCAACGCCGCGUGAGCGAUGAAGGCCUUCGGGUCGUAAAGCUCUGUCCUCAAGGAAGAUAAUGACGGUACUUGAGGAGGAAGCCCCGGCUAACUACGUGCCAGCAGCCGCGGUAAUACGUAGGGGGCUAGCGUUAUCCGGAAUUACUGGGCGUAAAGGGUGCGUAGGUGGUUUCUUAAGUCAGAGGUGAAAGGCUACGGCUCAACCGUAGUAAGCCUUUGAAACUGAGAAACUUGAGUGCAGGAGAGGAGAGUAGAAUUCCUAGUGUAGCGGUGAAAUGCGUAGAUAUUAGGAGGAAUACCAGUUGCGAAGGCGGCUCUCUGGACUGUAACUGACACUGAGGCACGAAAGCG